ACCCGGAUAGUUUAUAAAAACAUUGAAUUGUGAUUUCAAAAAUGUAGAAUAUCUACUCUAGGUC
rnacentral:tRNA from 1 species